GCCUCGAUAGCUCAGUCGGUAGAGCAGAAGAUUGAAAAGCUUCGUGUCUGUAUUUCGAUUCCGCCUCGAGGCACCA
rnacentral:tRNA from 1 species